AGUGCGCCUAGAAGCUUCUUGGGCGACCAGGCCAGAUGUGGACAGAUUGGUCUCUGCUUUUGAGGUUCUCUACAGAAUGUGAGCACCACCUCGAGUUGCCCGAGGCUCUACAUAUUUGCAGGAGAUUCUGCCCCACCCCCGACUUGUUCCCGCGGGAAGAAGAGAGGCGGGAUGCAGAAGGCUCAGGUCCUGCGGGCUUCAAGCAGUAGCUCCUGAGUGCUGUCACUCGGCCACUCCCGGGUCCCGCCUACCUUCCCGCCACCGGGGCGGGGACAGACAGGUGCCGCCACAGACUCCUGAAUCCACCGAGCAGGCAGACCCUCCGUGACCCUAGGUGGGUUUCCUGUGUAGGAACCAGGGAAAGAAGCUGACAAAACACCAAAGAUUCCUGGGUGAAGCUUGACCAGGAGAAAGCUCUCUCCACCCCCCUGCAGCCUGACCUGGAG
ensembl:lncRNA